UCCCUGGGACCCGCCGGGGGCGGGCAGGGCCUCGGGCUUCCGGCUGCCCCGGGGCGCAGGGGUGGGGGUCGCUGGCACGCGGGAGAGGACCCUGAGCUUCUCCCGGCCGGGAGCGUCCGGAGCCGGCCAGCCGAGUCUGACGGGUCUCCCGCCAUUUGAGACGCCGAUCGGGCACGUUGCCUGCACGUAGAGCGCUACCAGGCGCCCCAGGGUUUUGAUCAACCCCGACUCUAGCCUUUCCCUGAGCUAGCCUUCCUCGGCCAGAAGAUGCCCCCGGGCGAGCGAAGAACCGGUAGGGGAGCGGAAAGGGCUUUGGCGUGGGAAGAGUAGAGACUGAAUUCCUUAAGAUUUGCCAGCUCUGAGACCUUGGCUACGUUAUCUGUUUUCUUAGACUAUUUCAUCCUUUAUUAAAAAAAAAAAUUGUGGAGCCUUCUGGACAAGGAUGAAGAUACCAAGUGGAGUGUUUUGAGCGCGCGUCAACCGGCCGAGGGUUGUGAUUUCCAUCUUUUAAACGCGAGUCCAGACAUCGUGCUCCUCCCUCCUAAGGUCACUCGGAAGCCCUUGAGAGCCCCGGACCAGAGUCCAUUUGCCAUGACGCUGCUGCAUAACUCCGGUCUGGCUGAGCUCUGACCUCUGCGACAGAGAAUGGGCAUCUCCGUCUGCUGUAGAAGCCCUCAGGAGAAUUCAGUGGAGGACAUGCCUGACACUGAAAAUCCCUCUUAAAAUGCCACUGUACCAGAUCAGAAUAGAGGAGAUCAGAAUAAAGGUGGAUUCUUUACCACUGAGUCACCUGCGAAGCCCUACUGGUAACCUAAAGAAUGAGGAAGUUGGAACCAGGAACAGAGAGAGAAAUGCACUCCAAGCAGAGGGCACUGUAUAUGCCCAGCCUCCUCCUUGAGGGGUCCCGGCGUGCUGGCGGUGAGAGACAAGAGUGAGGGGAGGAUUCUUUACCAGCUGAGCCACAAGGGAAGCCCACAUCAUCUACAGAAGCAAAGCCAGUGAAUACUCAAGGUUAUGAAAGCAGAACCUAAGGAUAAAGAGCCAACUACAUUUAAAAUUAUAGCCAAUCAAUACUUUCCUUACCUUGCUUUCAGUUUUUCUCUAUAAAAGCUUUUCUUCAGUUCCUAUCUACAGAGCACUUCUAACUGCUUCCAGUUUGGCAU